rnacentral:lncRNA from 1 species
AACGCUACAGUGAAAACUAUCUCACGCCUACCAGGUCUGCCAAAUCCAGCUUGGGCAAGGGUGUCACCGGCCCCCUCUUAUGCUGGUGGGGGAGGGCAAUUUGGUACCACCCCUUUAGGGGCCCUCGCACUUCUGCACCAAGGAAUUUAACCUAAGAAAAUAGGCCGGCUUGGGCAAAAAACGUUGCUUUGCACCGGAGGCAAUGAAGACACGGCGGAGUCCCAGCUCGCAGGGAGCUCAGGUUCUGACGGCUUCAGAGGACAACACGCUCUGGACCAGCGCAGCGCCCAAGGGUCAGCGGCAGCAGCGAGCAGGGGGCACGGGAUGCGGGGAGGCUCUUCGGGAGGCAUGAAAGGCAGACGUGUUCCGAAACGUGAGCCGCGCUGGGGGGCACGACGCACGACCGGGGACAGAAGGAAGACACUGCGGUCGCAAAGCCCUGGCCGUGCAAAGGCCCCGUGGUCAGCCAGGAGCCCAGGCGUCCCCUGCUCUAGCGAGGUUUCCUUCCGAACGUCCCGUAGCACCGCUUACCACGGAACGGCGGGAGCUGCCUCGCAGCCCCGACCCCGC